rnacentral:lncRNA from 1 species
GGACACGCAACAUCGAACAUCAGCUACUACAAAAGGACGAAUUGAAAAGAAUAUUAUUCUUUGGAGUGGAGUUUGAUCAGCAGGAGGAGAAGAAGAAGGGUUUGAGGGUUCAAGUCACGAUCAAGAUUCAAUCCCGGGUUUGCAAAUAAUUAAUUUAUUAGUUUGAUAUACUUUAUGUUAUUCGAACUCAUAAUUAUGAAUUGUUUGUUAUUUGAGAUUUGGUUUUUGUUCUCGACUAUGAUAUUCGGCUAGAUUUCUUUAACUACCUAGGCUUAUGACAAUAGUUUAAUAAAGUUUGGAUUUUUAUUCGGUUUUUGGCAUGGUUGUGGAUUUUUCUUGUAUUGUAAAAGCUAUGGGAAUUUAACUUGGUGCAUAUGCGUGCUUGUGAUUGUUUGAUUAUUGUUUAUUGUUUCGUUCGAUUCUUGGUGACGGUCUUUAUCACGGAAUAGAGUCGGGCUAGGGUUUUAGGUUUUGGUGAGUGUCUAUAUCACAUAAUAAAUCUCUAAUCCUUUAGGGUGAAAAUCUGGUAAGUAACCUUAGAAACAAUAUUCGGUACUUUAAUAAAAUCAAGUGUUCUGCUAAACUCAUCGCUGUGAGGCUCGAGGGUAUUAAUAGGUCUCGGUUUGGUUAUAAGUCCUUAACAUUCCAUUGUCUAUUAAACCAAGAUUAAAACCCGUAGUUGCUUUAGACGUUCGCGCGGCAAGGUAGAGCGUGUUACAUAGGCACUUUCAAGACACUAGAGGACUGAAAGGAAAAUCUAGAAAGCCGGUGAGCAUAACAGCCUAGGUAGUGCCACAAGAAUCGCCUUGAGAGUGUUUGAGGGGCUUAGUGGUGUCUUAAUAGGUUUAGUAUCUAAAGAUCCCGGUUCCACACCACAAAAUCAUCGAAUAGAAAUCCAUUCUAAGUUUAGCUUGCGUCUAGCCUAGGUAUUCUUCAUCACCACUAGUCAAAGUCUUCGUUCGAGUUCGUGUCUAGUUAUUUAGCAUUAUUUUAAUAUUUUAUUUAGGAUUUUUAGAAACCCCCCCAAUCAAUAAACAAUUUAGUUUAAGUCCGUGUCAGUCUAAGUAUAGAUAGAGUCGUUAGCGUAAUCAGUAGAGUCUCUUGGGUUUGAUACUCGGACUUCCUUAUGCUAUACUACACCGAUCGGUACACUUGCCGGUUGUGUGGUUUAGGGUUUAGAGAGUCUUAGUUUUAUAAAUUUAAAACUUAGAGAGUCUAGAAUUAGGGUAAUUUAGUUGUUUUUAUUUAACCCAUUUUUAGCACAUCAAGUUUUUGGCGCUGUUGCCGGGGACUCUUUGGCGAUUGCGUUAAUUACUUUGUUUGGACUUGUUUGACAUCAUACGUGCUAUUUGUUCGUUUCUUUGAGUCGUAGGAGUCUAAUAAAAAAAUCAAAAAAAAAAAAACAAAUUUUAGUGUCUUUUAUAUUUUGUCGAGUCGUUUGUAGUGUCUUCUUGCUUGCUUGUUUUCGGUUUUGUAGUGGAUGCCCCAUACGCGUUCGCAAGGACCUCUGCCAAAUCCGCUUACGAUCAAGUCUUCCUUCUCGUCUUCUUCAUCACAGGUUCUGGUGUAAAUGGAGCGAAAACGAGUAACAUGGAAAUGACCAGCCAGUUGGGCAGAAUAAGAUGCCAGGGACCGAAGUUGUAAUGUAUGGAAACUAGAGUUAUUUACUAAACUUGGAGGGACUAAAGCUGCUAUAUGUGGGGAAUGGAAAAUUAAUCAUGAUAAAUAUAGAAUGAUGAGGGACCAUAUGUGACAAGAGGCUAAAAGUUAAUUAAUUCCUAGGAUGUGCUAUGGGUCCUACGAUUUUGUGUUUGAGAAAUUUUGUACGGUUAUGUUUAUUUUUAUUUGAUAUGGGCUGAUGUAGUAUGUUAAAGGCCAGCCCAUGAUUUAAGAACAUCAGGCGAGAUAUAUUGUGAUUGGACGGCAGACAUUUUUUGUGGAGAUAUAUUCGAACAAGGGGCGGCACAUAAUUCGAACAGAAGGACACGCAACAUCGAACAUCAGCUGCUACAAAAGGACGAAUUGAAAAGAAUAUUAUUCUUUGGAGUGGAGUUUGAUCAGCAGGAGGAGAAGAAGAAGGGUUUGAGGGUUCAAGUCACGAUCAAGAUUCAAUCCCGGGUUUGCAAAUAAUUAAUUUAUUAGUUUGAUAUACUUUAUGUUAUUCGAACUCAUAAUUAUGAAUUGUUUGUUAUUUGAGAUUUGGUUUUUGUUCU